rnacentral:rRNA from 1 species
AGAGUUUGAUCAUGGCUCAGGAUGAACGCUAGCGGCAGGCUUAAUACAUGCAAGUCAAGGGGGUAGCAAUACAACCGGCGCACGGGUGAGUAACGCGUACACAACAUGCCAUAUACUGGAGUAUAGCUUUGGGAAACUGAAGGUAAUCCUCCAUAACAUUGCGAGAGGGCAUCUGAUUGCAAUUAAAGUUUCGACGGUAUAUGAUUGGUGUGCGUUUGAUUAGCUAGUUGGUAGGGUAACGGCCUACCAAGGCGACGAUCAAUAGCUGGCGUGAGAGCGCGACCAGCCACACUGGAACUGAGACACGGUCCAGACUCCUACGGGAGGCAGCAGUAGGGAAUAUUGGACAAUGGGCGAAAGCCUGAUCCAGCCAUGCCGCGUGAUAGAUGAAGGCCCUCUGGGUUGUAAAUAUCUUUUAUCUGGGAAGAAACACCCCGUUUCUACGGGGCUUGACGGUACCAGAGGAAUAAGCACCGGCUAACUCCGUGCCAGCAGCCGCGGUAAUACGGAGGGUGCAAGCGUUAUCCGGAUUCACUGGGUUUAAAGGGUGCGUAGGCGGGUAUAUAAGUCAGUGGUGAAAGCUCCGAGCUUAACUUGGAAACUGCCAUUGAUACUGUAAGUCUUGAAUUCGGUCGAAGUGGGCGGAAUGUGACAUGUAGCGGUGAAAUGCUUAGAUAUGUCACAGAACACCGAUAGCGAA